rnacentral:rRNA from 1 species
GAUGAACGCUGGCUACAGGCUUAACACAUGCAAGUCGAGGGGAAACGGCAUUGAGUGCUUGCACUGAAUGGACGUCGACCGGCGCACGGGUGAGUAACGCGUAUCCAACCUUCCCGUUACUGCGGGAUAACCUGCCGAAAGGCAGACUAAUACCGCAUGUUCUUCGAUGACGGCAUCAGAUUCGAAGCAAAGAUCCGUCGGUAACGGAGGGGGAUGCGUCUGAUUAGCUAGUUGGCGGGGCGACGGCCCACCAAGGCGACGAUCAGUAGGGGUUCUGAGAGGAAAGUCCCCCACAUUGGAACUGAGACACGGUCCAAACUCCUACGGGAGGCAGCAGUGAGGAAUAUUGGUCAAUGGGCGGAAGCCUGAACCAGCCAAGUAGCGUGCAGGAUGACGGCCCUACGGGUUGUAAACUGCUUUUAUGCGGGGAUAAAGUGAGGGACGCGUCCCUUUUUGCAGGUACCGCAUGAAUAAGGACCGGCUAAUUCCGUG